UACGUAGGGCGCGAGCGUUGUCCGGAAUCAUUGGGCGUAAAGAGCGUGUAGGCGGCCCGGUAAGUCCGCUGUGAAAGUCCAGGGCUCAACCCUGGAAUGCCGGUGGAAACUGUCGGGCUAGAGUCCGGAAGAGGCGAGUGGAAUUCCUGGUGUAGCGGUGAAAUGCGCAGAUAUCAGGAGGAACACCAAUGGCGAAGGCAGCUCGCUGGGACGGUACUGACGCUGAGACGCGAAAGCGUGGGGAGCAAACAGG
rnacentral:rRNA from 1 species